UAUUUAUAGUUUUCUCCUCUCUUCCGACGUCAACAUGGAUGACUACAUUUCUACACUUAAACAGUUUUCUAAAGUGGAUUUUCCAUUGAAGCAGGAAAUAGUAACUAAAGGAAAACCAACAGCGGAGCUGAAAGUUUGUCUUCAAGAUAGUUUGAUGAUUCUCAAACGAAGUGGUAAACAAGAAAAGACUUGUCUAGGCUAGAUCUGCUUUUGGAUGAACGGAUAUUUUUGAGCAGAAUUAGCGGCGAAUGGACUUCAUCUAUAAGUAAAGAUUAACACACGACGGAGCUGCGUCUGCAGGCAACCAGCUGAGCCGACGCCAUUUUUGAAGGAGGACAUGCGGCAAAGGUCGUCAGACCGGGAGUCGAACCCGCAACGUCCGCGGGUCUAAGGCCUCCAAAUGUGGGGCAUGCUAACCCCCUGCGCCACCACAGCACGCCCGAAGGUGGGGCCUGAGGCAGGUCGGAGGUCAACACCCUCUUCCUCAGGCUCCACUUUUUUUUUUUAUUAAAUGAACUUUAUUUGUUAUAGUAAACAACACAUAACUGUGUAUGUUUGUGUUUUUGGUCACUAGGGGGAGCUGUGGCCUCCAGUAUGACAGUCCUGACUGAAUGAAAAUCAUUAGAACCUGUUUAUGUCACGUUA